rnacentral:snRNA from 1 species
UCGAUAUGUUGAACUUAGA